UACGGAGGGAGCUAGCGUUAUUCGGAAUUACUGGGCGUAAAGCGCACGUAGGCGGCUUUGUAAGUUAGAGGUGAAAGCCUGGAGCUCAACUCCAGAAUUGCCUUUAAGACUGCAUCGCUCGAAUCCAGGAGAGGUGAGUGGAAUUCCGAGUGUAGAGGUGAAAUUCGUAGAUAUUCGGAAGAACACCAGUGGCGAAGGCGGCUUCCUGGCCUGUUCUUGACGCUGAGGCGCGAAAGCUAGGGUAGCAAACGGG
rnacentral:rRNA from 1 species